rnacentral:lncRNA from 10 species
GCAGAGAACAAAGUGCUAAGGAAGUCAGCGGUCAAAUGCGUGGCUGGACAGGUAGAUGGAUACCAGAUCAUGUACUUGUAAGCUAAGGAGUUUAGAGUUGACCUUUUAGGUAAUAAAUUCCAUGGAGGAAUUUGAGCGGGGAAAUAGCAUGAUUAGAUUUUUGUAUUAGAACACUCACUCCUCUCUGUCCUGAAGAAACUCUAGCAUAUGUCGCGUCAGGAGACAAAUUCGGGCAUCUUCCUUAGUGCAUUGGGUUUGAUGGUGAAAACACUGGAAACAAACUAAAUCAGUAGAAAAAUAGAUAAGCAGGCCAGGCGCAGUGGCUCACGCCUGUAAUCUCAGCACUUUGGGAGGCCGAGGCAGGUGGAUCACCUGAGGCCAGGAGUUCGAGACCAGCCUGGCCAACAUGGUGAAACCUCGUCUCUACUACAAAUACAAAAAAUUAGCUGGGUGUGGUGGCACAUACCUGUAGUUCCAGCUACUCAGGAAGCUGAGGCAGGAGAAUUGCUUGAACUCAGGAGGCAGAAGUUGCAGUGAGCCAACAUUGCGCCAUUGCACUCCAGCCUGGGUGACAGAGCGAGACUCUGUCUCAAAAAAAAAAAAAAAAGAAAAAUAGAUAAGCAAAUAGUGGUAUAGUCAUAAAAUAUAAUACCAUUCAAGAUUUUAAAAUAAUCCAACAUGGCUAGAUCUUAAAAGCAUAAUUUUGAGUAAAAAAAAAAGGUGAGUUUCAGCAUAUGUAUGGUAUGAUAAAAUGCGUGUGAAAUUUAAAAACGCACGUUUGUAUAUUGAUUAUAAAUAAUAUAUGUAGGACGGUAUGAAAACAUGGAUUGUUGCCUUUGGAAACAAUCCAUGGAGGGAAAGGCAUGGAAAGAGAAAUACAUAGAAUUUUUCUAUUGGUUUUAUAUCUAAAAGAAAUAUGGGCGGGGCAUGGUGGCUUACACCUAUAAUCCCAGCACUUUGGGAGGCCAAGGCAGGAGGAUCACUUGAGCUCAGGAGUUUAAGACCAGCCUGGGAAACAUAGUGAGACCUUGUCUCUAAUAAAAAUAAAAAACAUUAGCUAGGUGUAGUGGUGCACACCUGUAGUCUCAGCUUCUUGGGAGGCUGAGGUAGGAAGACCACUUGAGCCCAGGAGAUAGAGGCUGCAGUGAGCUAUGAUUGUGCCACUGUACUGCAGUCUGGGCAACAGAGUGAAACCCUGUGUAAAAAAUAAAGAAAUACUGUAGAUGGAGCUAAAAUGCUAACGUAUUAAAUUUCCUGUGUUUAAAAUAUUUUUUGAACUUUGCUUUUUAAAAAAACAGAGAAAGUAAAAUCCAUCUGGCAGCGGCAUAGCAGAUGGAAGGGAGGGGAUUGGGGAAUGGGACCCCGAGCCAGUCUCUGUCUCCACACAGCAGCUCCUGGGUGGAGGAGAGCUGGAGGCCGAUCUUGGGGGACCCAGGGAGUAAUGCAUGCAGAGAACACUUCACCUUGUUGGGCUGCUUUUGGCCUCUGGGCAGAGCGGAGGCGUGGUCCUGGCAUCUUGUCUAGUGUCCCUGGAAGAUACGGGGCUCUGUCUUGAUCGGAACUGGCGACCAUUCUGACCUGGGAUGUCAGUAUCAUUUUUGGACAUCUGCCAACCAAGGGUCAGAAACAGGAGGAUUUUAGAAUACCUGGGAAAGCUUGGCAUUGUAUAUUCAGAGUAAAGAUGGUGUGAAUGUGUGUGUGUGAGUGUGUGUGUGCAUAUGCAAGCACAUGUGCAAAUCCAGAAGCACAGUGAAGGUGAGUGUUCCCCAAGGGGGUUUGCAGUGGAUGCAGUGACGAAUACAUUCACUGAUGAGGAUGCUCUUCUAUAGUUCAGAGAAGUAAGAAUGAAUCAUGAAUCUUUCCAGAAGGAAUUCAUUUCUAGACUCCUUCUUACCUUUCAGAUCUCCAUCGCCUGACCUAGAGUCUCGGCUGAAUAGCAUAAACCUGUAUCCAUCUACAUAUAUUUAUACAUCUGGCUUAGAGCCACAGCAGGGAAGAAUUCACAGCAGGAUCUUAUAGGCACACAGCCUAUAGGAUCUUAUAGAUUACAGCCUGGAUCUUAUAGGCAUCCAUUAAAGAAAACUACAGGCAUUUCCGCAACUGCAUAUGAAUUGUGUCACAUCUGUAUGUGCUAGAAGGAGUUCAAGGGCAUCAAUAUUCCUAUUGUAAUACAUCUGCCCAGUGCUAGCAGCAUUACUUAAGCAAACCUAUCAAAAGCCUAAAGAAUAAAGAUGUGGCGGGGUGCGGUGGCUCACACCUGUAAUCCCAACACUUUGGGAGGCCGAGGCGGGGGAAUCACGAGGUCAGGAGAUUGAGACCAUCCUGGCUAACACAGUGAAACCCCGUCUCUACUAAAAAUACAAAAACAAAUUAGCCGGGCGUGGUGGCACGUGCCUGUAGUCCCGGCUACUCAGGAGGCUGAGGCAGGAGAAUCACUUGAAGCCAGGAGGCAGAGGUUGCAGUGAGCCGUGAGAUCGCACCACUGCACUCCAGCCUGGGCGACAGAGUGAGACUCUGUCUCAAAAAAAAAAAAAAAAAAAGAAUAAAGAUGUGCACCAGCUUGGGCAACAAAGUGAAGCCCCAUCUCUAAAAAAAUACAAAAAUUAGCCGGGCAUGGUGGCAACUGCCUGUAGCCCAGCUACUCAGGAGAGUGAGACAGGAGGAUGGCUUGAGCCUGGGAGGCAGAGGCUGCAGUGAGCCAUGAUUGCUGCCACUGCACUCCAGUCUGGGUGACAAAGCAAGACUUUGUCUCAAAAAAAACAUGUAUAGCUACAUAAUUAAUAAUAUGCAAAUAUUCUUCUUUAGGGUCACUUAGGUUUUCAACAUACAGACCCAAGAGAAGGUACAGAGACUCAUUCUCUCUCUCUUUCAAUCACACACACACACACACACACACACACACACACACACACACACCCCUCUUCACUAUAAUUAUAAUUACUAUGUUGGCUUCCAGAUCAGGGGUUAGAGCCUUGGCAUGGAGACGCCUGAAAGGCACCCAAGGCAAUUAGUGGUGUCCCUUCUCCACCCCCUACAUACCUUCAGGCCCUUUGCACUUGCUGCUCCCCCUCCCAGUGCACACACCCCCAGAUCCUUGUGUGGCUCCCUCUCCCACCACAUUUUGGUCUUAGCUCAAAUGCCACCUCCUCAGAAAUGCCUGGCCUGGCCGCCUUCAGGGCUGUCUAUAUGCUCACCAGCUUUAAUUUUCUUUCGAGAACUUUCCAUUCCCGGACAUUGUACUAAAUGUUUAUUUGUUAUCCGUCCAUUAUCCAUCUCCUUGCCAGCACUCCCUGUGAGCUCCAUGAGGCUCCAAGAUUACAACCACAUGCCCAGAGCUAGGGUGGUGCCUGGCUCACAGCUGGCAUCCAGUCAGUAGCAAUGGAAUGAAUGAAUGAUCACCCUCUCUUCCUCUCCAUCCCCACCCUCUCCUUUUUCACUUCCUCUCCCGCCCCAUCUCCCCUGCCUCCGCCUUAAAUCUGCUGGCAUGACCAGCCCUCAGGAAGUUGUCAGGCAGGGGAGGUGUGUGCUCUGCACCCCUCUCCUUCCAUCUCUCUUUCCCACCUCCCUUAUGGGUACCUAUCUCUCCUACCUGCAGCUGCUCGCUGCCAGCUCUGGCCCUCUUGGUGGGCAGAAGCUUAGGCACCCCAGACAAUUGUAGGGAAAUUGGGCAUUGGAGGGCAGCCGUAAGAAAGGAUUCA